rnacentral:tRNA from 1 species
CAGCGCGUAGCUCAGCAGUAGAGCACCGGGCUUCGGACCCGGAGGGCGCAGGGGCAGGACCUGCCGCGCUGG